ACGGGUGAGUAAUGUCUGGGAAACUGCCUGAUGGAGGGGGAUAACUACUGGAAACGGUAGCUAAUACCGCAUAACGUCGUAAGACCAAAGAGGGGGACCUUCGGGCCUCUUGCCAUCGGAUGUGCCCAGAUGGGAUUAGCUAGUAGGUGGGGUAACGGCUCACCUAGGCGGCGAUCCCUAGCUGGUCUGAGAGGAUGACCAGCCACACUGGAACUGAGACACGGUCCAGACUCCUACGGGAGGCAGCAGUGGGGAAUAUUGCACAAUGGGCGCAAGCCUGAUGCAGCCAUGCCGCGUGUAUGAAGAAGGCCUUCGGGUUGUAAAGACUUUUCAGCGGGGGAGGAAGGGAGUAAAGUUAAUACCUUUGCUCAUUGACGUUACCCGCAGAAGAAGCACCGGCUAACUCCGUGCCAGCAGCCGCGGUAAUACGGAGGGUGCAAGCGUUAAUCGGAUUACUGGGCGUAAAGCGCACGCAUGCGGUUUGUUAAGUCAGAUGUGAAAUCGCCGGGCUCAACCUGAGAACUGCAUCUGAUACUGGCAAGCUUGAGUCUCGUAUAGGGGGGUAGAAUUCCAGGUGUACCGGUGAAAUGCGUAGAGAUCUGGAGGAAUACCGGUGGCGAAAGCGGCCCCCUGGACGAAGACUGACGCUCAGGUGCGAAAGCGUGUGAGCAAACAGGAUUAGAUACCCUGGUAGUCCACGCCCUAAACGAUGUCGACUUGGAGGUUGUGCCCUUUGAUGCGUGGCUUCCCGGAGCUAACGCGUUAAAUCACCGCCUGGGGAGUACGGGCCGCAAGGUUAAAACUCAAAUGAAUUGACGG
rnacentral:rRNA from 1 species